UCGAAUUCCACAUAAUGGAGGGGGAUGAGUGGGAAACCAGUUGGUCCGUUCAGCGGGGGAGUAACCAACCUCUCAGCGCAUAACAAGCCCGCCUGUUGGCAGAGUAAGUACUGUCCGGGGCUUGUUGGACGGGGCUUCUGCGAGUAAGCUCGCCCUUACCACACCCUUGUCUUUUGCGUACUACUUGUUUCCUCGGCAGGCUUGCUUGCCGUUUGGACAAUAUUAAACUCUUUUUGUAAUUGCAAUCAGCGUCUGAAUAAACUAUAAUAGUUA
rnacentral:misc_RNA from 1 species